rnacentral:rRNA from 1 species
GACGAACGCUGGCGGCGUGCUUAACACAUGCAAGUCGAACGGAAAGGCCCUGCUUUUGUGGGGCGCUCGAGUGGCGAACGGGUGAGUAACACGUGAGUAACCUGCCCUUGACUUUGGGAUAACUUCAGGAAACUGGGGCUAAUACCGGAUAGGAGCUCCUGCUGCAUGGUGGGGGUUAGAAAGUUUCGGCGGUUGGGGAUGGACUCGCGGCUUAUCAGCUUGUUGGUGGGGUAGUGGCUUACCAAGGCUUUGACGGGUAGCCGGCCUGAGAGGGUGACCGGCCACAUUGGGACUGAGAUACGGCCCAGACUCCUACGGGAGGCAGCAGUGGGGAAUAUUGCACAAUGGGCGGAAGCCUGAUGCAGCAACGCCGCGUGCGGGAUGACGGCCUUCGGGUUGUAAACCGCUUUCGCCUGUGACGAAGCGUGAGUGACGGUAAUGGGUAAAGAAGCACCGGCUAACUACGUG